CGUGUAGGCGGUUUCUUAAGUCUGAUGUGAAAGCCCCGGGCUCAACCCGGGAAGUGCAUUGGAUACUGGGAGACUUGAAUACGGAAGAGGGUAGUGGAAUUCCUAGUGUAGGAGUGAAAUCCGUAGAUAUUAGGAGGAACACCGGUGGCGAAGGCGGCUACCUGGACCGAUAUUGACGCUGAGACGCGAAAGCGUGGGGAGCAAACAGGAUUAGAUACCCUGGUAGUCCACGCCGUAAACGAUGAGAACUAGGUGUUGCGGGUAUUGACCCCUGCAGUGCCGCAGCUAACGCAUUAAGUUCUCCGCCUGGGAAGUACGGUCGCAAGACUAAA
rnacentral:rRNA from 1 species